rnacentral:rRNA from 1 species
GAUGAACGCUAGCGACAGGCCUAACACAUGCAAGUCGAGGGGCAGCACAUGAGUAGCAAUACGAUGGUGGCGACCGGCGCACGGGUGAGUAUCGCGUGUGCAACCUACCUUCCACAGGGGGAUAGCCUUCCGAAAGGGAGAUUAAUACCGCAUAAAACAGGGGCCCCGCAUGGGGAUAUUUGUUAAAGAUUUAUUGGUGGGAGAUGGGCAUGCGUUCCAUUAGCUAGUUGGCGGGGUAAUGGCCCACCAAGGCAUCGAUGGAUAGGGGAACUGAGAGGUUUAUCCCCCACACUGGAACUGAGACACGGUCCAGACUCCUACGGGAGGCAGCAGUGAGGAAUAUUGGUCAAUGGGCGGGAGCCUGAACCAGCCAAGUCGCGUGAAGGAAGACGGUUCUAUGGAUUGUAAACUUCUUUUGCACUGGGGUAAAACGGGGGACGUGUCCCCCCUUGCAAGUACAGUGCGAAUAAGCAUCGGCUAACUCCGUGCCAGCCGCCGCCGUAAAAC